CCCAGUUUGGGAACUGGCCGGGGAGAGUGAGAAAGAAAGAGUGCUGGGCAUGCAGAUCAUAUUUCACAUCACAUCAGAGCUGUGGAAUUUCCUCUCUUCUAGGGGGAGGCCUGUGAAGAGAGAAGUUGGUUUAAGAUGAGGAAUCCGACACAUGGAGAUGUGAAGCAGUCUGCCACUUAAUGAGCAGGAGCUGACGCUUGCCUCCGGAGCACGUCCCCUAUUAGGUGGGAGCUCUUUUUCUACAACCAUCAGCUUGCAACCUAGGACAAGUCCUUUGGCAGUGCUGGGGGCAUGUGAAGGGUGUGAGACCGGGCAGCAGGGAAGGCAGGGCCUUCCAUGCGUGCAAAGUCAAAGAGCAAAGCCAGAAGGAAGGGAGAGUUCAAGGGCUGCCCCACCCCUCCCAUCCCCGUGUAGUGCAACGCAGCAGGUCUCCAGCACCUUCUUACAACUUGAUUCACAGUUUCAGCGCCCCACCGUUUCCGCUUCCUUGAACUGCAUCUAGACACGACUCUGGUCCCCACCAGCUUCUGACCUCAUUACUCAUUCUGUUUACAGCGUGGCCUCACCCUUCAGGCUGCUCUGAUUUCCCAGAUAGGAAUUUGGCUGCCCUCAUUGACUAUGAUUCAGAUUUUCGCCCCAGCCACAUUGCACCAGCCCUCCUGUGUACACAGCCCCUCUGGUUAGACUGGUACCCUGACAUCACCCUGCUCCUCCGUCCCUCCCUGAAACCCCUGUCAUGGGUAAGGCAGGGCUCUGGGACUGUCUCCACUCCAGAGAGCGGAGGCAGGGUUAGGAAGCCCUGGAAUGAAAUGUGGGGGGAAAUCACUGACGGGUUUGGAGCUGAGGGUGUUAAGGUGAGGAGGAGGGCUUCUGAGGAAGGUGAGGAGGCCCUGCAGAACAGAGGGGAAGGCCGGAGGCAGGGGCGUCCGUGAACAGAUGAGGGACAGACGAGGAACGCCUGAGGUGACAUGCCCGGUGGAUACGGUAGACACAUGACC